GUCCACACGGUAAACGAUGAAUACUCGCUGUUUGCGAUAUACAGCAAGCGGCCAAGCGAAAGCGUUAAGUUAUCCACCUGGGGAGUACGUUCGCAAGAAUGAAACUCAAAGGAAUUGACGGGGGCCCGCACAAGCGGAGGAACAUGUGGUUUAAUUCGAUGAUACGCGAGGAACCUUACCCGGGCUUGAAAGUUAGCGACGGAUCGAGAAAAUCGGUCUUCCCUUCGGGGCGCGAAACUAGGUGCUGCAUGGUUGUCGU
rnacentral:rRNA from 1 species